UAAAAGCAUGUAUCAUCUUCAUUAUCAUCUAGAGACAUUGACCAAAACGACAAGACCUUGUUCAAGAACAAUAUACAAUGGUUCCAAAACUUCAAUCUAACAGUGGCCUGUUUAUCAUCAGCAUCACUGCCCGAUGCAACAUCAGGGCAACAGGCCAACCAUUCAACAAAAACAAGAAUGCCAGGUAAGAGAUAACUUGUAGAAGGAUCACGCAGCUGCACAAACCUCUCUAACACGUGUCCCAUUAACUCAAAAACUGCAGUAAGUGCAUUCUGUAGUAGAACAGUACGCUGUACAAUUUCUGCAUAUGUCUGACCCUCGGCCUCUCUUUUCACAUUGUGAACUGUGAAUAU
rnacentral:misc_RNA from 1 species